rnacentral:lncRNA from 1 species
GACGUCAGCAUGGCCGCGGCCCCUGACUACCCAGCUCCCUUCUAUCCCUCGAGCGGCAGGAAUCCGUCCCCACGCCCUUUUCCUUUAAAGGGCAACGGGCCGAAGGUGGGGCGGGCGGCGCGGCUCCCGCGAUCCAUUCAGGUCAAAAGGGAGAGUGAUCAAACAGGAGAGCCGAGGGGACCUAUAUUCAGAGACUUAACCGGACACCUGGACAGACCAUUACAACUUGGGACUUUUCAGGAGAAUGAGGGAAAUGUAGUUAUUGCACCUGAGCCUCACUCCAGCUCUGAGGUCCUCUUCACUUCUCUUUGGAAGAAAAUUGGAUAUCUUUUCCUAGUUGAAAGAGUAGAGAUCUGAUUUCUCCAAGGAUCAUCGCUUUUUGACACGGGAUUAUUAGAAGCAUUCAUUCAUCUAUCAAGGAGUUUUGGGAUACUUGCCAUAAGCCAAGCCCUCUGAUAGGUGCUGGAAACAUCAAGCUCUGUGCCCAGGAAGUUCAUCCUUGGACUGCACGCAUGAACGAGUUUGCUGUCUUCCCAUUGGAUUCAGCCAGUCCGCGGUCCUGGAAGAAGAAAUACUUUCCCAGACAAAUAAAAGCUGAGGAAUAUCAUCAACAUCAGACCUGUCUUACAAAAAAUGCUAAAGGGAGUUCUUCAAUCCAAAAGAAAAAGAUGUUAAUGAGCAAAAAUAAAUCAUCUGAAGGUGCAAAACUUGCUGGUAAUUGUAAGUACAAAGAAAACACAGAAUAUUAUAACACUGUAACUUACAUGCUGUGGUGUGUAAACUACUCAUAUGUUAAGUAAAAAGACUAAAAUAUAAAUCAAUUAAAAUAAUAAUUGCAACAACUUUUCAAGACAUAGACAGUACAAUAAGAUACAAAUAGGAACAACAAAAUGUUAAAAAGCAGGUUGACACAGUUAAGGUGUAAAGGUUUUAUUAGUUUUCCCUUUGCUUCUUUGUUUAUGCAAUCAGUGUUUAGUUGUCAACAGUUUAAAAUAAUGGUUAUAAGAUAUUGUUUGCAAAUCUCAUGGUGACCUCAAAUCAAAAACAUACAACAGAUACAUGAAAAAUAAAAAGGAAGAAAUUAAAACAUACCACUGGAGAAAAUCACCUUUACUAACAGAAAGACAGGAAGGAAGGAAAGAAGGAAGAGAAGACCACAAAACAACCAGAAAACUCACAAUAAAAUGGCAGGAUUAAGUCUUUAUUUAUCAACAAUAACAUUGAAUGUAAGUGGAUUAAACUCUCUGAUCAAAAGACAUAGAGUGGCUAAAUGUAUAACAAAACAAGACUCAAUAAUCUGUGGCCUACAAGAAACACACUUCACCUAUAAAAACACAUAUAGAUUAAAAAUAAAGGGAUAGAGAAAGAUAUUCCAUGGAAACAGAAA